rnacentral:lncRNA from 1 species
GUUACCUUAAAGUCCUCUUUAGGAAUACCUAAAAGUACCAAUGCCUAGUCUCUAUCCUUGGUUUAAUUGGCCUGGAUUCCGAGUCUUUGGAUUAGAUGCAGAACUUCUUAUACUUUCAUGUACACGUGAUUCCCUGGGCAUCUUGUGGAAAUACAGAUUCUGAUUCAGGAUGUCUGAAGUAGGGUGUGAUUCAGCAUUUCUACCAAAUUUCCACAUGUUGCUUCUGCUGCUGCUGCAGGUAAUUAGAGCGCUGAUUCUCACACUUGGCCAUGCAUUGGGAACACCUGGUGAACUUUCAAAACACUAAGGGUUCUACCCCACCCUCUGAGAUUCUCAUUUAAUUGAUAUGGGGUGUUGCCUGGGUAAUAGGAAUUGUAAAAGCUCCUCAGGUGUUUCUUUUCUUUUCUUUUUUUUUUUUUGAGACGGAGUCUCGCUCUGUCUCCCGGGCUGGAGUGCAGUGGUGCGAUCUUGGCUCAUUGCAAGCUCCGCCUCCCGGGUUCACGCCAUUCCCCUGCUUCAGCCUCCCUAGAAGCUGGGACUACAGGCGCCCGCCACCGCGCCCGGCUAAUUUUCUUGUACUUUUAGUAGAGACGGGGUUUCACCGUUUUAGCCAGGAUGGUCUUGGUCUCCUGACCUCCUGAUCCGCCCGCUUCGGCCUCCCAAAGUGCUGGGAUUACAGGUUUGAGCCACCGCGCCCGGCCUCUGGUGUUUCUAAUUUGGAGAAACACUGUGAUAGAGCUUUUCCAGCCUCAGGACUAGGGUUGACUCAGCUGCUGUAUUUAGUUUCCCUGAAGUUCUUCAAGAAUUUCCCUUUCUCUCCGGGAUCCUUUGCCGUCAGAGGACCAACAUCUCUCCAAGUUGCCAGGAUUUAUUGUCCCUGGUGUUUUCAGACUUCACAGUGAUGAACUCAGAUGUGGAUCUUUAUUUCCUGUGCCAGGACCUUUCAUCUUGAAGACUGGUUUCUUACCUGAGUCAGGACCUGAACUCCUGUGCAUCUUGUCUGAUUUCUGUUUGAUCCCUCAUUAUAUUUAUUGCCUAGGCAUGGAAGGCCAGACAGGAUUUUUGCUCAAGAGUUGUGGUGUUUUCGGAAAGUAGCUAUAUGUCAUGAUAUG